GACGAACGCUGGCGGCGUGCCUAAUACAUGCAAGUUGAGCGAUGAAGAUUGGUGCUUGCCCCAAUUUGAAGAGCAGCGAACGGGUGAGUAACGCGUGGGGAAUCUGCCUUUGAGCGGGGGACAACAUUUGGAAACGAAUGCUAAUACCGCAUAACAACUUUAAACAUAAGUUUUAAGUUUGAAAGAUGCAAUUGCAUCACUCAAAGAUGAUCCCGCGUUGUAUUAGCUAGUUGGUGAGGUAAAGGCUCACCAAGGCGAUGAUACAUAGCCGACCUGAGAGGGUGAUCGGCCACAAUGGGACUGAGACACGGCCCAAACUCCUACGGGAGGCAGCAGUAGGGAAUCUUCGGCAAUGGACGAAAGUCUGACCGAGCAACGCCGCGUGAGUGAAGAAGGUUUUCGGAUCGUAAAACUCUGUUGGUAGAGAAGAACGUUGGUGAGAGUGGAAAGCUCAUCAAGUGACGGUAACUACCCAGAAAGGGACGGCUAACUACGUG
rnacentral:rRNA from 1 species